UCCUCGGAUCUCAGCCUCCAGAGUAGCUAGGAUUACAGUGAGCCACAGUGAGCCACCAGCACCUCUGCUUCAAUGAAUUAUUUUUACUGUUCUUAGCUCCUUGCCUUCCAGGGAAGCCAGAGCUUUAGAGUGUUGCUAACACUGGACACCAGCAGGGGGCGCCCAAAGCACUUAGGACUGCACGGCCAGGUCUGGCUGCAGUAAGUGGACUCCACCCCAUUCCUCCCCGCCGAGGCCCUGCAGAGGACAGAAUUGUUCCCAUAUGCAAACAGACUCCAGACAACUGAAAGCUGCGCUCAUGAGAAACAGCAGCAUGAGCAAAGCUCAAUAAAACAAAAGCAAGCUCCAAAUAUGUUCUCAGGACCUUCAGUCCUGUUAGAUACUGGUUGGAAGAGGGGGGUUUUUGGUCACACAAAUUUAAAUCGCCUCCAUUCUCCUCUUAGAGCUUACCAUCAUACUUCAGCAUAAGGGCUCCAAGAA